AUCCAGCUGACGAGUCCCAGAUAAGACGAGACGCACGUCCUAGAU
rfam:Schistosoma mansoni strain Puerto Rico chromosome W, complete genome